CACUGAAAAAUACAGCUUUUCAGGUUGUGCUUUUAGAAUCUCGGGAUAGAAUUGGUGGUCGAGUUCACACUGACUACUCAUUUGGUUUUCCUGUAGACAUGGGAGCAGCCUGGUUGCAUGGUGUCUGCAACGAGAAUCCAUUGGCAUCAUGGAUUGGAAGACUUGGUCUACCAAUUUAUCGAACUUCUGGUGACAAUUCUAUCUUGUAUGAUCAUGACUUGGAGAGCUACGCACUCUUUGAUGGUGAUGGACAUCAAGUGCCUCAAGAUCUAGUGGAAAAAG